CUAGUGGGAACCAAUUCUUCCAGGGGCCCAAGGGGGGCCCGGCAGGCCGCGGGCCCCCCAGGGAUCCUCCCCACCUUGGAGAGGCACCCGGCUCUCCCCGGCCUGGCAGGACGCGUUUCCCCGCCUGGCUCCGGUAACAUCUCCCCAGGGCUGGGCCCCUGACUCAGCCGCCCCGCCCCCAUCGAAGCGCCCCUACACCCGGCUGUUAAUCGAUGAACCAAUUACCAGGCCGCCCGGGAGCUCGCGGGAAUCUCCCUCCUGCGAGAGCUUUCCAUCCGCAGCGCGCUGGGCUCGCGGCCUGGGGUGAAGUCCAGCGGAUGCCACGAGUGAGUCCCCGCGCCGGCCCGACCCACCCGAGGGGUCUGGGGUGAGGAGGACAGGAGCUCGCCCGGACCCAGCCCCGGUGGGGAAGAUUCCCGCCCAGGCGCAAGUUCAAGUCCUUUCCACCCCAACGACACGCUCAGCCCUCCUAGCCAGUGAGACCGGGGUCUCUGGACGCCCGGAGAAGGGUUUCCUCAUCUAUGAAGUGGACACAUAAGACCACUCCUGUCUCCAGGGGGUGAUGAGCGCUAAAAUGAGACCAGGGACGCACCCCAGCCUUGGUCUCUGGUCAUGGCGCCCCCUACCGGCGGUGUCUGCACAGACCAGAGCCCGAGAGAGGACAACCUGCCCCAGGUGUUGACUCCCGCUCCGACCGAGGCGCAGGUGCGGCUUUACCCGGGCCGCCGGUGCCGGAAAGGGUCAAUCUUCACUCACCACCGGGUCUCGGCUGCAGGGCUGAUUUGCGGGACAGCCCCGCUUCCUCGGUUCUCCACGCUCCCGCUCCAGCUGCUCCCAGCCCCCGCGCCUGCCGCUCCCGCCCUCGGAAGGGCCAAAUCCCCAUAAAACAUUUGGGGGAGAUAAGUGCUGCGUGUAAAUAAUUAAGGCCACAUGCAUAUGCGCCAACAACGACAACAAAAAGUUUAAAACCCCCAUUCCGGGAACAGCUGCCUCAGUGUGGGGCCCAGGGCGGGGCUGCUGAAGCCCACCUCACCGGUCUUGCUCCUGGGG